rnacentral:lncRNA from 1 species
AAGAGCAAUCCAAGUAGUAUUAGCAUAAUGUGAAAUCUUUGAGUAUGUUGAAAGAAAUAACAGGAUAAUAAAAUAUCUAAAAGAGGAGAUAAUUUAUUGAUUGAAGAAACUGAAAUACACCGCAUACCAGUCAAACUGAAAUCCAAAUGAGAAUAAUUUACUUCCUCCAUUGUUCUAAAAUGCACGUCAUACCAGUCUAAUCUGCAAUAGAGUCAAGACUAAAGAGUUAUUUUAGCUGGCAACUUUCCAUAAAAGAUUUACCCAUGAAAGAAAUGCAUGUUUGUAACUCUUGCCAAACAUAAAUAUCUAAGUAAAACAUCUCUCUAUCUCAUAGUUUUCCCUUUUCAAGGGUUGAACCCCUGAAGUGUGUUUAACCUACAUAUUAUGUGUUGCCUUCUUAUCAGGAGACCAAAGCCCAGGGGCUCUUCUCUUUCAUUCUAUUUUUUUUCAAAAACUUAUGCAGCGAAUGAUGACAAUUGACAAGUAGGCAAAUAACUUUUAGAGUUGAAUUGUCAACAAACCUCUCCAUCCAUCUGUUUUGUUCAGAUAUCACAGCAAAUGAAUAACUUUUCCCUCAUGUAACAACACAUCUUAUAUUGAUCUGUACAAUGGAAGAAUGCUGCAGACGAUAAAGUUAAUAACUAAACAAUGAAAAAGUACCUUAAAAAGACAAUAGAAGAUUGAAUCAUUUAAUUUAUGAACAAAUGUACCAGAUAAGGGACCAUGUUCUUCUUCACUA